UUUGCAGCCCCGGCCUUCUCUUCGAGGACACCUCUGCUUUUCUGCCUCACACUUGGAUUGGACCUUCUUCAGCACAGCCAGUGGCUGAGGCUUCCUCCCUGGGGCUCAGUGGAGCAGGAAAGAUGCUGCAUCCAAACUCUUCCAUUGGGUUCCAGUCUGUUCCAGUCAUGCCCUUGAGCCUCUAAAGCUCCUAGUUCCAUAGACCACAGGAAAUGCAGGCGAGAGGGCAGCCUGGCGAGAGGGCAGCCCGGCGGGAAGGAAGGAAGAGGGUGGUGUUGAGCCAGACAGGAGACAGUAAGAGAAACGGCCUCUCUCCUCAGCGGCACAAUGGACUUUAGACAUCGCGCCUGUUUUGUACUCUCCAAGCCGGACUUCUCUACUCGCUGGCCUGGCGCUGAUGCCCAGAGGCCCCCUGUGCUUGUGGUCGUGGCCUUAGACAGUUCCCUGCCCUUUGUUCCAGCCCCGCCACACAGUCUGCACGGCCUCCACCACAGCUCUGGUGAGCCUCUUGGCCAGCUCCUGGUGACGGCGUGCACUUCCCUGCUCUGAGAAGGUCUCCCUCUCCUCUCUGCCCACCCUGUACAGAGACGUCUUUCAAGACCAUCCCAGAGGAGAGUGGCCUCUCUCCUCCACCCCAAGAGGAUGGCCUCUCAUGUGGCUGUCAGCCAUCUGACCCCUACCACAGACCUGAGGGUGAUCAGCCCCAACACCAGGCCAUGGUGGCUACAAAGUCUGGCAGAGUCAAAGGAAUGAGAAAAGGCUAAGAGUGCAUAAGGUUGGUCCAGGGGGCCAAAGCUAGUAUGGAGGCAGUGAAGGCCCUGAGCUCUGGGAGCCCACACUAUUUAUUGGUGAUCAAACAAAGAAGCAGGUGGUGAGGACGUGCGGAUGUGGGGGUAGAAAGGUAGUGGUGCAUCAAGCGUAGCUGUGACGGUUUAGCAUUUUCUUUGAAGUACGUGGAACAUGCUCUGCUACGUGAGAUAACGGAGAACAUGUUCUUCCAACUCAAGGUACAAUCACUUUAUGAUCCUGGGAGAGCAAGAAGCAAGGAGCCAGCAAGUCGGUGCACAUUCAAAAGGCCACGAGGGGUUUUAUGGUCUGAGCCCUGGAUUCCGUCAAAGCCGCAAGGGGUUUUAUGCCCUGAGCUUAGAUUGUGGUGCCACAGGGCAGCCUUCCACCCUUUGGCACAGAGCUUGGUGUUCCAAAGGCCAUGAGGUUUAGACCCUGGACCCAGGACAUGUUCCAAGACUCUUUUACAUUAUGACAGACAAGCUAGUCCUGCCUCAGCUCUUCUACCAACAUGUCUCCAUUUUAUUUUUGCAAAACUGCCACAGCUAUCAUUGCUUGUUCUCUACAGGGGCUUCCUGUCCAGAGGCAGCUUCCACAUCUGCAGACUAAAAGGAGACAGCACAACCACACAGUUACUAGAACAAAGUUUACAAGUGUAGAGUUUCCAAUGGUCUUAAUCCAUUUAAGAGGAUAGAUUGCAGACAACUCAUCAGCUGCCUUGUUUAAAAUAUCAGUGCCAGGGAGCAGGGCCAAGUGAGCCUGAGAGGCUUCAAAAACCUGCUCUUUCAGUUUUACAAUAUUGAAGGUGAGAUUUUCCUCUCUGCCCUCUAGAUGGCGUUUAAUUCUUUCCCAUUGGUGUUCUGUCUCGUAACUAUGAGGAGUAAUGCAAAAAUCGGAUAUAUUCCAACCACAAUGCAUUUGAAUUCUAGUUUCUAAACUUAGGAUGUGAUCCCCCAUCCAAAUUACUGUCUGACAGAGAUCACUGAUUUGACUAUCUUUUGAUCUAUUUGGGCUUGAGAGUUCCAUAAUUUCAUAGAAUUCUUUUGCCAUUUAUCAACAAAUUCAACAGUCUGCACAGAUGAGUGGAAAGCCACACCAGCUACUGCAGCAGUAGUGGUAACAGCAAUGAGGCCAAUUAUAGCAAAUACAAGAACAACUAUGAAUCUUUUUUAAUGGGAUAACAGGUUUUAAAGAAUCUCAGUUACAAUAUGAAUGGAUGGUGAUGCAUCCCGUGGUCUAUUUAGAGACACAGGGAUCCAAACUCCUUCUCUGGCUCUAAUUAACAAGAAAGUUUGAUUUUUAUCAAAGGUUGAGUUAAUACAACUAAACAAGUGACAUUCGGGGCAUGUGAUAGAAUGGGUAUUUAUGUCAAGAGUAACAGUUCCUAUUGCUAACAUAAAAGGUGGCUGGACACAACUUUGAAUCCAAAAGGUCUGCCACAGACAGUACUGCCAGCAUGGCCACCUUUAACUUACUAGUUGUUUUUGGUUUGUUCUGUGCUCUGAGGUUGGCCUCUGCCAUCUGUGCCAGUUUAACUUGGCCCCAUGUUGGAAGAUCCACCUGGCGAGUAUUCACAGUCUUUUUCUUUGUCUCUGAGAUGUUCAUUCAUGCCAUCACUUGUAUAGGGAGCUCUGGCUCUUCCCAGGGUCCUCUCUUCCUGGUGUGGCUCGUGAUGGCUCUUCAGAUGUUUGGUGGGCACCCACACAGACAACUGAUUGUCACCUGGAGAGACACAAGCAAAUCCUCUUCCCCAUGUAAUUAUUUUUCCUUUUUCCCACCUUUUUGUAUGUGCAUCCCUCCACCAUAUAUCUUGUCCAGCCUUUUAUUUUCCUUUUGUCCUGUCAGAUGUUGUUCAGCUGCAGGCAUGGGUUGAUCUUUUUGUAAAUUUAAAAUAAAGCUAAGUGUAAUUGCAUAUGUGGGGAUUUAUAUGUCUGAUUUCCCCCUUUUUGUUUUUGUAUUUGAGUUUUUAAGGUAUGAUUAGCUCUUUCAACUAUUGCUUGUCCUUGUGAGUUUCAUGGAAUUCCUGUAGUAUAAGUAAUAUUCCACUGUUGAAAAAAUGCAGUCAUGGCUUUACUGCAAUACCCUGGGCCAUUAUCAGUUUUUAUUUUUUUUGGAAUUCCCAUAACUGCAAAGCAAGAUAAAAGAUGUCUUUUAACAUGAGCUGUAGCUUCCCUGUUUGACAUGUGGCCCAGAUAAAAUGUGAAUAAGUAUCUACUGAAACAUGAACAAAAGACAAUUUUCCAAAGGUGGGAACACGUGUUACAUCCAUCUGCCAGAUGGACUUUGGAGAUAAACCUUCAGGGUUAACUCCUGCUCCUUGAUGUGGUAGAUGUAAAACUUGACAGGCAGAGCAGUUUCCUUAGCCUGUUUCCAUGAUAAAUUAUAUAUUUUUCUCAGACCUGUGGCAUUAAGAUGGGCUAAAGAAUGGAAUGUCUGUGCAUCAUCAAAAGCUGCAGAAACCAGUGCAUCUGCCCUUUGAUUAAGUUUAGUCAAAGGGCCUGGGAGGUUAACGUGUGCUCUUACGUGAGUGAUAUAGAAAGGGG